GAUUAAAAAUUUCAUCUAUUUGUAUUGUUAAAAACUGACGUAGCUAAUGGAAUUACUAAACAAUGAUACGUGGCACGUCAUGUUGAUGUAUAGAGACUAAUUUUUAACUGUAAAAUUGAUGGAAUUUUUAACA
rnacentral:pre_miRNA from 1 species